rnacentral:rRNA from 1 species
AGCGUAUAUUAAAGUUGUUGCAGUUAAAAAGCUCGUAGUUGAAUUUCGGGAUUGACACAUCGGUCGUGCCUUAAGGGGUAUGAACUGGUGUAGUCAAUUUCUCACCUUCUGGAGAACCGCGAUGCCCUUAAUUGGGUGUCGCGGGGAACCAGGACCUUUACUUUGAAAAAAUUAGAGUGUUUAAAGCAGGCAUUUUGCUUGAAUACAUUAGCAUGGAAUAAUAAAAUAGGACGGCAUGAUUCUAUUUUGUUGGUUUCUAGGAUCACCGUAAUGAUUAAUAGGGAUAGUUGGGGGCAUUAGUAUUCAAUUGUCAGAGGUGAAAUUCUUGGAUUUAUUGAAGACUAACUACUGCGAAAGCAUUUGCCAAGGAUGUUUUCAUUAAUCAAGAACGAAAGUUAGGGGAUCGAAGACGAUCAGAUACCGUCGUAGUCUUAACCAUAAAC